UAACCUCUAAAUAGCGCCGCUAGCCUUGUGCUGGCGCGCGCUUCUUAGGGGGACUAUUGACUUGAAGUCGAUGGAAGUUUGAGGCAAUAACAGGUCUGUGAUGCCCUUAGACGUUCUGGGCCGCACGCGCGCUACACUGACGGAGCCAGCGAGUUGACCUUGGCCGAGAGGUCUGGGAAAUCUUGGGAAACUCCGUCGUGCUGGGGAUAGAGCAUUGCAAUUAUUGCUCUUCAACGAGGAAUUCCUAGUAAGCGCAAGUCAUCAGCUUGCGUUGAUUACGUCCCUGCCCUUUGUACACACCGCCCGUCGCU
rnacentral:rRNA from 1 species